rnacentral:rRNA from 1 species
UUUAAAUUUAGAGUUUGAUCCUGGCUCAGGACGAACGCUGGCGGCGUGCUUAACACAUGCAAGUCGAGCGAUGAAGCUUCCUUCGGGAAGUGGAUUAGCGGCGGACGGGUGAGUAACACGUGGGUAACCUGCCUCAAAGUGGGGGAUAGCCUUCCGAAAGGAAGAUUAAUACCGCAUAAUAUAGGAGAAUCGCAUGAUUUUCUUAUCAAAGAUUUAUUGCUUUGAGAUGGACCCGCGGCGCAUUAGCUAGUUGGUAAGGUAAUGGCUUACCAAGGCAACGAUGCGUAGCCGACCUGAGAGGGUGAUCGGCCACAUUGGAACUGAGACACGGUCCAGACUCCUACGGGAGGCAGCAGUGGGGAAUAUUGCGCAAUGGGGGAAACCCUGACGCAGCAACGCCGCGUGGGUGAUGAAGGUCUUCGGAUUGUAAAGCCCUGUUUUCUAGGACGAUAAUGACGGUACUAGAGGAGGAAGCCACGGCUAA